rnacentral:rRNA from 1 species
AUUGAACGCUGGCGGCAGGCCUAACACAUGCAAGUCGAACGAGUGGCGGACGGGUGAGUAAUGUCUGGGAAACUGCCUGAUGGAGGGGGAUAACUGCUGGAAACGGUAGCUAAUACCGCAUACCAUCAGAUGUGCCCAGAUGGGAGUAGCUAGUUGGUGGGGGAAAGGCUCACCAAGGCGGCGAUCCCUAGCUGGGCUGAGAGGAUGACACGCCACACUGGAACUGAGACACGGUCCAGACUCCUACGGGUGGCAGCAGUGGGGAAUAUGGCACAAUGGGCGCAAGCCUGAUGCAGCCAUGCCGCGUGUAUGAAGAAGGCCUUCGGGUUGUAAAGUACUUUCAGCGGGGAGGCGGUACCCGCAGAAGAAGCACCGGCUAACUCCGUGCCAGCAGCCGCGGUAAUAC